AUCUGCAUUUUCUUUAAAGAAGGUGGAAAGUUUUACUGGAGGAUCAAAAACUAAGGAGGUUGCCAUGAUGGUCUGGGUCAGGUGGAGUCACCACAAGUACAACCCAUAAAAUAAAGCAAGAGUGAUUCGUACUUCUAUAAGGAACAAGUUUAGUUCUUGGAUUUUGACUUGGAAUCCCCUGGAUGAACUCUUUAUUAGGAGUCAAUGACGGAUGGAGAAGCCAUGCAGAGGACUCACCCUGGCACUGGUUUUUUGCAGAUGUCAUUAAGAUGUAAAUGAAGAUGAGGUCAUACUGGAGUAGGACAGGCCCUUAAUCUAGUGUGACUAUUGUCCCUUUAAGAAAGAAGAGACACUGAGAUACACAAGGAGGGAGAACACCACGCAACAUUAGUGGCAGA